AACGAACGCUGGCGGCAUGCCUAACACAUGCAAGUCGAACGAGACCUUCGGGUCUAGUGGCGCACGGGUGCGUAACGCGUGGGAACCUGCCUUUAGGUUCGGAAUAACUCAGAGAAAUUUGAGCUAGUACCGGAUGAUGUCUUCGGACCAAAGAUUUAUCGCCUUUAGAUGGGCCCGCGUUGGAUUAGCUAGUUGGUGGGGUAAAGGCCUACCAAGGCGACGAUCCAUAGCUGGUCUGAGAGGAUGAUCAGCCACACUGGGACUGAGACACGGCCCAGACUCCUACGGGAGGCAGCAGUGGGGAAUAUUGGACAAUGGGCGAAAGCCUGAUCCAGCAAUGCCGCGUGAGUGAUGAAGGCCUUAGGGUUGUAAAGCUCUUUUACCCGAGAUGAUAAUGACAGUAUCGGGAGAAUAAGCUCCGGCUAACUCCGUG
rnacentral:rRNA from 1 species